rnacentral:lncRNA from 10 species
UAUAUAUAUGACCUUAAUACAAUUUUCCUAUCUAAAAAAACAUAAUUUUAAAAUAAUCUAAUAACCAAUCUAUGUUCAGUUUUUGCCAGUUGUCUCAAAAAUCUCUAUAGUUUGUCUAAAUCAAGAUCCAGUAAAAUAGUCCAGUACGAACUACUGAAAGUUUGCUCCCUUCAUAAAAGCAUUGAAAAACCUGCCACAUACUAUCAAAAUCAACUUUCACAGAACUCUGGAAAUUAGCCAAAAGCUUGCGGCAACCCAGAAAACUUCAACUGAAAAAAAAAAAAGUUGAAUUCUAGUAGAAACAGCAAGCUAUGUGGUAUUUUACCUUAUUACCAGAUUUUAAAUCAGCUAUUUUAAACAUGUUCAAAGAGCCAAAGGAAGCCGGGUCUAAAGAAAUAAAGGAAAGAAUAAGAAUGAUGCCCAAACAGAAUAACAAAGAAGAGAUAAAACUGUAGUGGGGAAGAAAGCACAAAUUCUGAAGUUGGAAAGUACAAUAGUUGAAAUGAGAAUUCACUGAAGAGGUUUAAUAAUAGUAGAUUUGACAGAAAAAGAAUCAGCAAACUUGAAGACAGAUCUGUUGAAAUUAACCUCUCUGAGAAAAAGAAAGAAACAAGAAUGAAGAACAAUGAGCAAAACUUCUAAAACCUUUGGGAUACCACCAAAUGUACCCAUAUACACAUAAAAAAAGAGAAAGGGGCAGAAUAUUGGAAGAAAGAAUGGUUGAAAAUGUCUCACAUUUGAUGGAAAAUAUUAAUCUACCUAUCCAAGAAGCUCAGUGAACUCCAAGUAGGUUAAACUCAAAGAGCUCCAUACCUAGACAUAUCAUAAUCAAACCCUCAAAAGACAGAAUUUUGAAAGAGGCAAGAUAAAAGCAACUCAUCACACAAGGGAGUCUCAAUAAGAUUUACAACUGACUUCUCAUCAGAAACCAUGGAAACAAGAAGGCAAUGGGUACUGUUUAUCCAUUCAACUAUUCAAGGACAUCUUUGUUGCUUCCAGGUUUCAGCAAUUAUGAAUAAAGCUGCUAUAAAUAUUUGAGUGCAGAUUUUUGUGGACAUAGAUUUUCAACUCAUUUGGAUAAAUACCAAGGAGCACAAUUGCUGGGACAUAUGGAAGCUUCAAAGAAAGUUUAUUCUCUAGCAGUCCAUGGUUGUCUGCCCCACCCUCUUCAGGCUCC